ensembl:lncRNA
GACUGUAGCCUACCAGGCUCCUCCCUCCAUGUGAUUCUCCAGGCAAGAGUACUGGAGUGGGUUGCCAUUUCCUUCUCCAGGGGAUCUUCCCGACCCAGGGAUCGAACCUGGGUCUCCGCAUUUCAGGCAGACGCUUUAACCUCUGAGCCACCAGGGAAGCCCAAUCCCAGCAAAGGAUGUAAUCAACUGUGCCCACUACGAAGCCUGGAUUAAAAACUCUUGAAAACAGUGAGGUUCAGGGAGGUUCCAAAUUUGUGAACACAUUCAUGGGCUGAGAGGGUGGCACACCCAGAGGUGGCACAGACUCUCUGUGCCCCCAACUUCCUACUUACCCUAUAGAGUUGUAACAUUCAUAAUACAUUUGUCUUAUCCUGAGUUGUAUCAUUUAUAAUUAAGCGGUGCCGUCAACCCUCUAUAACCACAGGUUUCAAAUCAGGAGAUUCGAGUAGCUGCUAAUUGAAGGUCAGUGGCUGAUUGAAUCUGCAGAUGCGAAACCAGCGCACAUUUGGAAGAUUUACUGUAAUCACAGGCCUGGCGCCAUUUUACAUCUGGGGCCUGCUCAUUGGUGAAUUUUGGUACCUGUUGCUGCUGCUGCUAAGUUGCUUCAGUCGUGUCCGACUCUGUGCGACCCCAUAGACGGCAGCCCACCAGGCUUCCCUGUCCCUGGGAUUCUCCAGGCAAGAACAUUGGAGUGGGUUGCCAUUUCCUUCUCCAUUGUGUGAAAGUAAAAAGUGAAAGUGAAGUCGCUCAGUCCUGUCCGACUCUUCGCGACCCCAUGGACUGAGGGGUCUCCCAAAAUCAGUCCCCUGAGGAUGCUGAGGAACGACUAUAAUUAUCUUUGCUGUGAACAUUCUUCUGCAUGGCUUCUGGUGCACAAGUGCAAGAGUUUCUCAGGAUUUAUCUGGGAGUAGAAUUCCUGGGUAUGCACACUCAGUGUAAAAGGAAUUCACGUGAUACAGUGGGCUCUCCAAUGACUGACACAGAUGUUAGCUGACCACUGAGAGGCAACCGGACUACCACAGUGCUGGCACGCCCGAUGUCAAAGCGAACCACAGAGGAGACCACAGAAUAAACACUCCAGGCCGGUACUGGAUGGAGAACAAGGAAGAGAACCAGAGUACCUGCAGAGCCAGCUAGGGUUGAUGUGAAGCUUGGUCAACAAACACGUCUACCAGCCUGUGAUCAAACUGAGAUUGGCCAUGACUCUUGUUAGCUGCAGAUUUCAACAUCCUGCAGAUGGCAGCAAGGUGUCUGGUGACAAGGUGGACAAUGCACAAUUCUGAGGAGGCCAGUGCAAGUGCAGGCAGCAUAUAGGAGCAUCAUGUGAAAGAGCCAUUUCCCCUAAAGGGCCCUAAGAACACAUAAGCCUUCCCUAUACUUCACAGUUUGGGAGAGGGAAGGAAGGAAAGCUUUGAACGGAGAGAAACAGCUCUGAUAAGGGAAUCAGUUCUUGAAUUUUACUGACUAAAGACCAAGCCAACAUAAAGAGUUAUGUUUCAUUAGCAGGUUUAAGGAACUCCUCCUCCCCUGUAUACACAGCCGUCAACAGGAUGGGGCCUUGAGACUGAAAUAGAGCAGUUAGAGAAAACAAUAGAAAGUUGCUUUUUCUUUUCUACCCAUUUGAGAGCUACAGUGUUCAAUUCUACUCUGCUUCAGUGAUUAUUAUUGUGGUCCCUAUUGUAUAUGGGGAAGCCAGAUAUGGAAAAAAAAGGUUACAGUGCAAUCUAAAUAUAGUAAGCUAUGUACCAUAUACACAGAGUCCAAAGAGGAGGGGGAAAUUAGCUACAUAUAUUACUUUUCUAUUGUCCUGCAAUGAUAUUACCACAAACUAAGCAGGUUAAAACACACAUUUAUUAUCUUACAGGUUCUGUAGGUCAGGAGUGAGGGCAUGGCUUAAUUGGGUCUUCUAUAAGGCUUCACGGCUUCCCUGGUGGCUCAGUGGUAAAGAAUCUGCCUGCCAAUGCGGGUAACACAUGUUCAGUCACUGGGUCAGGAAGAUUGCCUGGGGAAGGAAAUGACUUCACUGGAUGUAUUGGUCAGGGAUGGAUCCUCAUUCAAAUGUUCGACUGGGGAAGGAUCUGUGUCUAAGCUGAUGUGGUCUCUGACAGCAUCUCAAAACCUGAGAUGUCUAUAGGAAGUCUUUCAGGGAAGCUGACACCCAUGCUGGGAUGCUUAGUGGUUCAACACCUUGUUGGGUAUUGGACUGAGGGCUUCAAAUCCUUUUUGAUUGUCAUGCAGAGGCCACCCUCAGUUCCACCACACAUAACUCCCCAACAUAGCUGCUUGCUUCCUUAAAGACCUCCCAGGAGGACAGAUAUCACAGUCUUACAGAAUGUCAGGCAAAUGACUCCCCAUCACCUUUGCUGUAUCUUAUUUGCUUAAUCAAGUCAUAGGAUCUUCCUACACUCAAGAAGGAAUUUCAGAAGGGUAUAAAUACCAGAAGACAGGAUCGUGGGCACUAUCUUAGAGUCUGUCUGCCAUACUACAAGGUGAAUUGGUAGGAGAGACCAUGCCAGAUGUAACCUCUCAGAGGACACACAAUCUGACGUGGCUUUUGAAGAAGGCAAAGGGCCCAGAAUUCGCUUGACAGCCCUACAACCUAGCAGUAUCUAGCACCAGAGGAGGAAACAGUAAAUGCUUGUGAAUGAAUAUUGACAUCAGGAGAAAAGUUUGAUCACCCUGGUAAGAAAGAAUAUAGUGUUCUGCAUAGGAGAAAGGCAAGAAAAAUACUUGUCAAUGCUCAUCUCUGUAGCAAUAAGUAACAUAAAGACUUUACAAAGGUAUUAAAACAGGAGAGCCACUGCAUUAAUGUCUCAGCAAGCCUCACCAGGAAAGUGCAAUGAACAUCAAGGGCACUAAAAGGACGGGAGAUGAUCUAAUGCAGGAAGCUCCCCCAA